rnacentral:rRNA from 1 species
AACGAACGCUGGCGGCAGGCUUAACACAUGCAAGUCGAGCGCCCCGCAAGGGGAGCGGCAGACGGGUGAGUAACGCGUGGGAAUCUACCCAUCACUACGGAACAACUCCGGGAAACUGGAGCUAAUACCGUAUACGUCCUUCGGGAGAAAGAUUUAUCGGUGAUGGAUGAGCCCGCGUUGGAUUAGCUAGUUGGUGGGGUAAUGGCCUACCAAGGCGACGAUCCAUAGCUGGUCUGAGAGGAUGAUCAGCCACACUGGGACUGAGACACGGCCCAGACUCCUACGGGAGGCAGCAGUGGGGAAUAUUGGACAAUGGGCGCAAGCCUGAUCCAGCCAUGCCGCGUGAGUGAUGACGGCCCUAGGGUUGUAAAGCUCUUUCGCAGGUGAAGAUAAUGACGGUAACCUGAGAAGAAGCCCCGGCUAACUUCGUGCCAGCAGCCGCAGUAACAC